GACGAACCGUGCGAACGUUGUUCGGAAUCACUGGGCUUAAAGGGCGCGUAGGCGGGCGAUCAAGUCAGGGGUGAAAGCCCCCGGCUCAACUGGGGAGGGUCAUUCGAUACUGAUCGACUCGAAGGCAGGAGAGGGAAGUGGAAUUCCCGGUGUAGUGGUGAAAUGCGUAGAUAUCGGGAGGAACACCAGUGGCGAAAGCGGCUUCCUGGUCCAGCACCGACGUUCAGGCACGAAAGCGUGGGGAGCAAACAGG
rnacentral:rRNA from 1 species